CCUACGGGCGACAGCAGUGAGUAAUAUUGGUCAAUGGGCGCGAGCCUGAACCAGCCAAGUAGCGUGAAGGAUGACUGCCCUACGGGUUGUAAACUUCUUUUAUAAAGGAAUAAAGUGAGGCACGUGUGCCUUUUUGUAUGUACUUUAUGAAUAAGGAUCGGCUAACUCCGUGCCAGCAGCCGCGGUAAUACGGAGGAUCCGAGCGUUAUCCGGAUUUAUUGGGUUUAAAGGGAGCGUAGAUGGGUUGUUAAGUCAGUUGUGACAGUUUGCGGCUCAACCGUAAAAUUGCAAUUGAUACUGGCAGGCUUGAGUACAGGUGAGGUAGGCGGAAUUCGUGGUGUAGCGGUGAAAUGCUUAGAUAUCACGAAGAACCCCGAUUGCGAAGGCAGCUUACUAAACUGUGACUGACAUUGAUGCUCGAAAGUGUGGGUAUCAAACAGGAUUAGAUACCCUAGUAGUC
rnacentral:rRNA from 1 species